CCUACGGGUGGCUGCAGUGGGGAAUAUUGCACAAUGGGCGAAAGCCUGAUGCAGCGACGCCGCGUGAGUGAAGAAGUAUUUCGGUAUGUAAAGCUCUAUCAGCAGGGAAGAUAAUGACGGUACCUGACUAAGAAGCCCCGGCUAACUACGUGCCAGCAGCCGCGGUAAUACGUAGGGGGCAAGCGUUAUCCGGAUUUACUGGGUGUAAAGGGAGCGUAGACGGCAUGGCAAGUCUGAAGUGAAAACCCAGGGCUCAACCCUGGGACUGCUUUGGAAACUGUCAAGCUAGAGUGCAGGAGAGGUAAGUGGAAUUCCUAGUGUAGCGGUGAAAUGCGUAGAUAUUAGGAGGAACACCAGUGGCGAAGGCGGCUUACUGGACUGUAACUGACGUUGAGGCUCGAAAGCGUGGGGAGCAAACAGGAUUAGAUACCCUGGUAGUC
rnacentral:rRNA from 1 species